CCUGCUCUCCUCAGCCAUCUUAGGGACAUUCUCCCUUCCCUGCAGGCUCCAUUUUAUGCUCCUGACGCAGAAAAUAAAAAGUGUCUGCUGAGAACUUGAAGAAAAGCUUGAACAGGACAAGAGGAUGGAUUUGAAUGUGCAGUGGAAUAUUCUGAAGUCCCCAGCUGACUUAGAUAAGAUAAGAGUGACAAAUCUGUGGGGGAAAAUUGACAAUAUCCUUUGCUUUUAAGGAGAACAACGUUUCAAAGAGGAUGUGAGCUAUGACAAAAGGAGGCCAUUUCCCCUUGUCCACCCUUCCCACAGGAGGUGCAAAUGUCACCCCAGCACUGAGCAGAUUAGGCUGGGUUCAUCUUUGAGUGCCCCUGAGCUUCUCUGGGCAGCUGUGCCAGGGCCUCACUGCCCUCCCAGGGAAGAAUUCCUGCCCAA